AAUUCAGAACUGCAGAUUGUGCAGCUUCCACACGGGGAAUGGAUGUCUGAGCACAGGGGCUGACUUCCCAGUGACUUUCCUGAAGCGCUUUUCCGUUUACCUCCUGUGUUAAGCCUGGAUUCUCCACCUGCUUUGGGCACAUUCUGCCCAAGGCUACUGUGCAUCUUCCAAGGAGAGUGACUUGCUCUUUCAAACCGAAUUAUGUCAGAAUUGCCGAACUUCAGGUAAAGAAAGCUGAAGACAAUCUGACCAGAGUCUCCUAAAUCAUUUCCACCGAAGUUGUUGAAGCGCAACAUGAGAUCAAGGCUCAGGGGCAUAUCAACCUCCACAAAUCUGAAUGGCAUUUCUGCGGAUGCAGGUUUCCUGAUGGGUUGCUCGUCACGAAAAAGAUUGGAAAAAGGAUGCAUGCCUGCAGUGUAUACUAGGACCUCUGUGAAUAAGGAGCUACGAAUUUUGUUUUCUUAAAUGAAGAAAAUAGAAAGCCAACAGGGGAGCUGCUGAAAAGCAACGUGACCUGCAGCGCUGCCAAAUCCAGCCUGGAAGAUAUUGCCCUCUUUCUUUAUACUAUUGUUGUAACUCACACUGUUUAAACUGUAUAAUCAGAACUCCUGUGGCACUUUUCAACUUUCUGGCUUUUCAGACAUUUCAGGACACUGUCAAGUUAGUGGAAUUCUGCUUCGAAUGGUUGCUUCAGUGAACAUUCAACGCUGUCGGUGAGUUUGGAAUUAAAGUAGAAACCAUCGACCGUUGAUUGUACCCUGCGGCAACCACCGUCCUCCUUUCUUCAUGCUUUCAGCCUGUCUGCUAAAGACAGCAACAAAACUGGACAGAAAUCUUUUUCUCCCCCCAUUCUUGCAGAGUUUAACAAAGGUCCCAAUGAACAUUCAUUGCUGUCGGUGGGUUUAACUCUGAGGACAAGCUCACUGAACAAUGAAUGGAACUGUGGCUCACCUUAGGCAACCACAAUCGAGAGGAAAACCAUCUCUAAAACACUCAAAUGUUUCCUUUGGAAGACUGCUACGGCCCUUCGGGAUUUUUAAUUUGAACCUGUGUCUAAUCCAUGAUUCUUUAACAAAUGGACAUUGGUUCUGUAAUUUUUAUCAUGAAUAAGGAUUCUUUUUAGGUAAAUUAUCUUGACCAUGAAGUCUAGCAUACCUUUCCCAAUGAGCAAAUGCCAGCCUAGAGUAUUGUCACUCACUCUCCCUGUGGAUGGUGAGAGGAUGGUUGUGGAUUUAAAAAAAAAAAGUGCAUGGUGGAACCAAGGGCCUGUCUACAAGGUUAACAGAGCUGAACCCUUGCCAGUCGAAAACCCAAAGAAAAUGCACAUCCUAGAAAGCUAAUCUCAAAUACAAGCUUAAAUGUAGAGUCCUAAAAAUUCAAUACCACCACAUUAAAUAAAAAAACUAUGUUUAUCACUCAAUUGAUCAUAUUUAUUGAAUAUUGUGUUCAGAGCACUGUAGUAAGCACUUGGGGAAGUACAAAAUACCAGAGUUGGUAGACACAUCCCCUGCCCACAAGGAGAUUACAUUCAUAUUAAUGUAAAUAUAAAAAUGAAUUAUGGAUUAAUAUUAUGAAUGAAUUAGAUUGAUAUACAGAAAUUAUGGAUAUAUAACAAGAGUGCUGUGAGCCUGAGGGAAAGGUUAAUAAAGGGUGCUCACUAGAAAGAGAAGAUAUUGAAAAGAUUGUGAAAUAAUCACCUGCAAAAUCUUUUGAGUGUAAUUUUCUUUUGACCAUUUUCAACUAUGUUGUUUUUGCCUAUCGUAUGACAAUGUGUAGGACUGGUGAGGGACAUAAAUUGUAAAGAAAUGCCUGGCCAUAUCAGUUGGAGCAUCAACAGCAUCUCAUGAGCAUCUACUAUGGGCAGAGCACUAUAUUGGAUGCCUACUGAGUUCAUAUGACUGUACUGAGCACCUGCCAUGUGCAGAGCAAUGGUAUUUAGGGCCCUCUGUACAGAGCCCUGUACAAGCCUCUUGGAAACAUACAAGAGAAUGAAACACAAACCGCCAAAUAUACAAUUAGGAAAAGAGUGAAUGAAAUGAUACAAAAAUACAAGCAAUGAAAUAAAAGGUGUUCAAAAUUUAAAUGAA